rnacentral:tRNA from 1 species
GCCUUUUUAGUAUAAAAGUAUAUUUGGCUUCCAACCAGAAGGUCUAGAAUAAAUCUAGAAAAGGCA